CCACAUAGGAGUUGUAGCUUUCUCAUCUUCUCAAGCUUUGACACAUUCUCUUUUGUCUCUCUUGUAUCUCCCUCUCAAAAUAUAAAAUCUUUACAUUAUACAUAUAAAUUUUCUCUCGAUUUCCCACUCUUUUUCCCGAGAAAAUCACUUUUUUUUUUUAUUUUUAUUGUUUUGUUACAAUACUCACAAGGAGAGCUGCCCAAACAAGCCACAAAACCAGGCGGAACUUUGAGAGAGAGGGGGGGAGAGAGAGAGAGAGAGAGGAAAGACACUUUAAAAGGCCAGAGAGGAAAGAUAGGAAACCAGAAAAAUACAGAAACCCUUUUUAAGGAGUCUUCCCCAUUUUGAUUGUUAGGGUUUUAAUUCCUCUUUCUUCAAAUUUCGUUCUCAUCCGUUUAAGAGGACGAGGAUCUGAUGGCGUCGCAAGGGCAGACUGGAAUGGACGUGGCCGUACUGGAUGAUAUAAUUCGACGGCUGACGGAGGUCCGAUCAUUGAGACCAGGGAAGCAGGUGCAGCUCUCUGAGGCUGAGAUCAAGCAGCUCUGUGUUGCCUCCAAAGAUAUAUUUCUUCAACAGCCCAAUUUGCUUGAAUUAGAGGCACCCAUCAAGAUUUGUGGUGACAUACAUGGGCAAUAUAGUGAUUUAUUACGGCUUUUUGAAUAUGGUGGUUUUCCACCUAAUGCCAAUUAUCUAUUUCUAGGGGACUAUGUGGAUCGCGGCAAGCAAAGUUUGGAAACAAUAUGUCUCUUGCUUGCCUAUAAGAUAAAAUAUCCCGAAAACUUCUUCCUUCUUAGAGGAAAUCAUGAGUGUGCUUCCAUUAAUCGGAUAUAUGGAUUUUAUGAUGAAUGCAAACGGCGUUUUAAUGUGAGAGUAUGGAAGGUUUUUACAGAUUGUUUUAAUUGCCUUCCUGUGGCAGCUUUAAUAGAUGACAAGAUACUGUGCAUGCAUGGUGGUCUUUCCCCUGAUCUGACAAAUUUGGAUCAAAUUAGAAACUUAAGUCGUCCAACUGUUGUUCCUGACAAUGGUUUGCUCUGUGAUUUGCUUUGGUCUGAUCCUGGUAGAGAUUCUAAGGGAUGGGGGAUGAAUGAUAGAGGGGUUUCAUAUACCUUUGGACCAGAUAAGGUGUCAGAGUUCUUGACAAAGCAUGAUUUGGACCUUGUCUGUCGUGCCCAUCAGGUUGUGGAGGAUGGAUAUGAAUUCUUUGCAGACAGGCAGCUUGUCACUAUAUUUUCAGCUCCUAACUACUGUGGUGAAUUUGAUAAUGCUGGUGCAUUGAUGAGUGUUGAUGAAAACUUGAUGUGUUCAUUCCAGAUUCUCAAACCUGCAGAGAAGAAGUCUAAGUUCAUUACGUCGGCAAAAAUUUGACACCCCCUUGCAUAACUGCUCUGGGACUAAUUAAGGCUCCUCCCUGCAAGAUCUACCCACCUUUUAGCAAAAGGAAGGGACCCGCACGCCCAACUCCCAUUCCGGGGAAAAAGAAAAAGGAAAAUAAGAGUUCUCCACCUCGAUUGUCUGAUUCUUUUUUUCCUUAAGAGCAGGAUUGCAUGAAGUCCAUAACUUAAGUAUCUUCUUUUCAAAAUGAUUGAUCUGAAUCUCAUCAAUUCUGUGCAGUCUCACCAAAUUUGACUGUUCCUUCUUUAAAGCUAAACUGAGCCUCACCUAUCUAAUAUGGCUAUCAUGUUGUGUCUAGUACAGGGCCUUGAACUACAUUAGGUCAUCAUACACAGGUCAUGCUGAAGUGCCGUACAGGCCCUUUGCCAUGAGUAACAACUUGUAUGCCUUUCCGUCUAGCUUGAGGAAACUGCAGAAGGCAAAGAUUAGUAGCCUGAAAAGGUUUUCAUAGUCUGUCUGAUUGAUAUUGUUAGUAGGAAGAAAGUAUCGAAAGUCAUGUCCAGGAACAAAUGUCAUUUAGGGUAUCAAUCAUGAUCCUCCCUGCCCCAUGUCUCUCCUUCGCCUUUGAUGUCCUUUUUGCCUUUCAUUUGUAUGUUUUUGAUCUGCAGUGAAUGUGUACAUAUAUUUAGUUCAGUAACUCGGUCCUUGGGUUGUGGCUACAAGCAAAAAAAAAAAAGCUAUAUUCAUGUCAUAUUGUUCUUCGAGCUACGAUGUUUCUUAUUGAUUUGAGUUAUUUUGUAUCGUUGACUUGGGUGCAUUUUAGAUGUUGAGAAUGGGAGAGAGUUAAUUGAGAUUGUCCAGUCA